rnacentral:lncRNA from 1 species
CGCUCAUUUUUGGGCGCGGCUGUGCCCGUGGCCUAUUUUUGGCGCACGGAGGCCGCCCGCAAAGUCUGGGGCCAUUCCGAGUCCGGCGGACGAACUUCGCCCACGCCCCCCGCCAAGGCUAUAGCCAACCCGUUUUUUGGCCAUUUUUCCGCUUGGGGGUGCUGGCGCCCCGACCUUCGGGUGCUCAUUUUUGGGCGCGGCUGUGCCCGUGGCCUAUUUUUGGCACACGGAGGCCGCCCGCAAAGUCUGGGGCCAUUCCGAGUCCGGCGGACGAACUUCGCCCACGCCCCCCACCAAGGCUAUAGCACACCCGUUUCAAGGCCAUUUUUCCGCUGGGGGGUGUUGGCGCCCCGACCUUCGGGAACUCAUUUUUGGGCGCGGCUGUGCCCGUGGCCUAUUUUUGGCACACGGAGGCCGCCCGCAAAUUCUGGGGCCAUUCCGAGUCCGGCGGACGAACUUCGCCCACGCCCCCCACCAAGGCUAUAGCACACCCGUUUCAAGGCCAUUUUUCCGCUGGGGGGUGUUGGCGCCCCGACCUUCGGGAACUCAUUUUUGGGCGCGGCUGUGCCCGUGGCCUAUUUUUGGCACACGGAGGCCGCCCGCAAAGUCUGGGGCCAUUCCGAGUCCGGCGGACGAACUUCGCCCACGCCCCCUGCAAAGGCUAUAGCCCACCCGUUUUUUGGCCAAUUUUCCGCUAGGGGGUGUUGGAACCCGACCUUCGGGAGCACAUUUUUGGGCGCGGCUGUGCCCGUGGCCUAUUUUUGUCACACGGAGGCCGCCCGCAAAGUCUGGGGCCGUUCCGAGUCCGGCGGACGAACUUCGCCCACGCCCCCCACCAAGGCUAAAGCACACCCGUUUCAAGGCCAUUUUUCCGCUGGGGGGUGUUGGCGCCCCGACCUUCGGGAACUCAUUUUUGGGCGCGGCUGUGCCCGUGGCCUAUUUUUGGCACACGGAGGCCGCCCGCAAAGUCUGGGGCCAUUCCGAGUCCGGCGGAUGAACUUCGCCCACGCCCCCCACCAAGGCUAUAGGCCACCCGUUUUUUGGCCAAUUUUCCGCUGGGGGGUGUUGGCGCCCCGACCUUCGGGCGCUCAUUUUUGGUCGCGGCUGUGCCCGUGGCCUAUUUUUGGCACACGGAGGCCGCCCGCAAAGUCUGGGGCCAUUCCGAGUCCGGCGGACGAACUUCGCCCACGCCCCCCGCCAA